rnacentral:lncRNA from 1 species
CAACAAUUGUUUUUUGGGGGGGUAAAAAAAAAGGAAGAAAGAAAAUGGCUCUAAGGACAUCCCUAAUUUGGAAGCAAUGAAUUCAUUUGUCUUAAAAUUGUCACUUCCUUUCCUUUUUCCUUUCCUUUCCUUUCCUUUCCUUUCCUUUCCUUUCCUUUCCUUUCCUUUCCUUUCCUUUCCUUUCCUUUCCUUUCCUUUCCUUUCCUUUCCUUUCCUUUCCUGACAUAGAGGUUGAAGCCAACUCAUUCCUUUCUUUUUUCCUUUGAAAGGUCGGCCACCCUGUGCUUGCCCACUCUCAUCCACUCCAGCACAAACAGCCUUUGCAUCAAAAAAGCACUAGGUGGUGCCCAUUUUCUUUGCCGGUGAAAGAGCUGGAUUUCCCCCAAGGGAGUCACUACGGGGAAGUUUAUGAGCCCCCAGCCCCAUACCGCGCAGUCCCCUCCUCUGACAGAUGACCAGGAGCCUGGUGUCACGUUCAGUCAUUUCCCGAAAGUAUCCCAGGGCUUGCCAGUUUUAGGACAGAGUUUUAGUUUUGGAAGUCAGUGGUUUUAAAUGUGAAGAGCAGGGGAGGACACAACAUGGGCAUGAAGUACUUGAACGUUACCAGUACUUUGCUACAGGAAGGAAGCCGUCACCCCUGGAUCGCGUGCUACCGUCAGGAAGAUGGGUUAGGGAGUGCCGAGCAUAAAGAAACAGCCAAGAAGAUGCAAAACCAAGAGGUAAAGAUGCCAGCAGCCUGUCAACCAUUGCUGCAGUUACGGACACCUGGAAAAAUUGAGGCUUGUGCUCACCAUCCGAGCAUCUCUGGAAAAUGA